UUCUGACUGCAGGCAGCUGUGUCUCGCAGCCUGUGGGCUUUCUCUGGCUGCUGUAGCCCACUACGCCUGCAGCAGGACUGGAGGCUUGCAGGACUGAUACCCAUUCCCCAGAGCAACCCUCAACCAAUGACCAUCAGGAUUGGGUGGAUAAAUAUCCCAGCUCUCUUACUCUUCAGCACCAUGAGAAGAGCUUCUCCCCUGUAAAUGGCCACUCACACUUGCGGGUCCAUGACUAGCCAACCUGAACCCAUUCCACAGUGAGGACCCAAGCCCAGCAGAUCUGCAGCCAAAACCAAAGUUGCUCAGUGGGACCCAUGCCACAUAAGCUGACCCAUGGCCAACCUGAAAAUAAAUUUUCAGCCAAGACACUCUUUUGCAGCCUAAGAGGGUUAUUAUGGAGAGGUGGAAAGAUCUUCAAACCUGGAAGGCUUGCUUCAAACCCCAGCUCUACUCCAACUACAGGAUUGGGGCAG